rnacentral:lncRNA from 1 species
CCCAGGAGGAAGGGAUUGGGGCGGGGGGAGCCAUCCCCAGCUGCCUUUGUUCUCCGGGAUAAGCGCUCCCACGUCCCCCUCCCGGGCGGGGCCCGGCAGAUACCCCCGCCCCGCCCCGCGGUGCCCCGCAUCAGCCGCCUCCUCCCGCCCGCGCGGUGGCUGUGCUGGGGUCCCGGCGACCCUGCUCAGGGCCACCGAAGGUUCUGGGGGCUCGGGCGCGGGGGGUGGGGGUGGGAUUCGCAGUCCGAGCCCGUGGGAGCCUCCCCAACCCCUCAGUCCCAGCAGCAAACUGCGCUUGGUCGGACGGAUGCCCGUGCGAGGUCCGCCAGCAGAGGGCGCCCUGGGAGAGGAAAGGAGCGGGUUUGAAUGGCUUUCCUGGGUCCCUGGCGCCACACUGUGGGGCUCGAUGAUUCACAGCCACACCUGUCAUCACUGUAUCCCAAACUGGCAGUCUCUUGGACAAAGCUACCGAAGCAGGCCUGAAGAGACUGAAGAAGGAGAAUUGUGAAUUUAAGGCCACCCUGGACUACACAGUGAGUCCCAGGCUAGCCUGGGCUACAGUCUGAGACCCCAUUGAAAGUGGAGAAGGAAGGAGAAAAACACUGUGUUUACUUAUGGAAGGGUACAUAUGCCUGUAUAUUGUAUGAAGAUGUAUUCGUGCUUAUGAAAGUGUGCAUAUGUUGAAUGCUAUGUGUAAAGGGUGUAGAAUAAUAAAG